AUACGGAGGAUCCGAGCGUUAUCCGGAUUUAUUGGGUUUAAAGGGUGCGCAGGCGGGAGAUUAAGUCGGCGGUGAAAUUUUUCAGCUCAACCGGAAAAGGGCCUUCGAAACUGGGUUUCUUGAGUGUAGAUGAAGUAGGCGGAAUUUUUGGUGGAGCGGGGAAAUGCAUAGAUAUCACGAGGAACUCCGAUUGCGCAGGCAGCUUACUAAACUACUACUGACGCUCAGGCACGAAGGCGUGGGGAUCAAACAGGAUUAGAUACCCUGGUAGUCCACGCAGUAAACGAUGAUUACUAGCUGUUUGCGAUACAAUGUAAGCGGCUGAGCGAAAGCGUUAAGUAAUCCACCUGGGGAGUACGUUCGCAAGAAUGAAACUCAAAGGAAUUGACGGGG
rnacentral:rRNA from 1 species